rnacentral:rRNA from 1 species
UGAGGAAUAUUGCACAAUGGGCGCAAGCCUGAUGCAGCAACGCCGCGUGAGGGACGAAGGCCUUCGGGUCGUAAACCUCUUUUCUGGGGGACGAGUAAGGACGGUACCCCAGGAAUAAGUCUCGGCUAACUACGUGCCAGCAGCCGCGGUAAAACGUAGGAGGCGAGCGUUAUCCGGAUUUACUGGGCGUAAAGCGUACGCAGGUGGCUUCGUGAGUCGGACAUGAAAGCUCCUGGCUUAACUGGGAGAGGUUGUUCGAUACUGCGGGGCUUGGGGUUGGGAGAGGGACGUGGAAUUCCCGGUGUAGUGGUGGAAUGCGUAGAUAUCGGGAGGAACACCAGUGGCGCAAGCGGCGUCCUGGCCCACACCUGACGCUGAGGUACGAAAGCGUGGGUAGCAAACAG